rnacentral:lncRNA from 1 species
AAGUGGGUCUAGGACCUCUGGGUGGUCGCGCUGUUUCCCGGCCCAUGCACCAAAUGAAAGACCCCCGAAGGGAGACCCUCCCUCAGACACUUAAGUCUCGGGACAGCCGCGUACCCAAGAAGACACUGAGACCAUACAUAAAAUGUAGAAGGCCUAAAUGACAAGUGACACUCCUUUGGGACCUUCACCAGACCCUUCAUAUCAUUACCAGUAAGGUGCGUCUACAGGAACCCAGGACACUUGUACAUUCCUACAACAUCAGUAUCUUCAAGAAAUCUCUAUUCUGACAAAAUUCUGCACGUGGCCUUAACAAUUUGAUAAAAGUUAUUGCUGAGUCCUUGCCAGUGUCUGACAGCAUUGUCCCAGACUUUGCAUGAGGUGAUGUAAAAGUCAAGGGACCCACUACUUGGAAUCUAUAUGCUUCAUUAUUUAGUCCCAAGAAGAACCCACUUACAAGUCAUUGUUAGAAGUAACCAGUGUGCAUAUAGAACCAGUCAUUGAAGAAUGAACUUGCUUAUCAUGGACAUCAAGAGCCAAUGGAAGAGAACAUUUUUUCCUAGGGAGAGGAGUAUACAGAGUUAAAAGCAUAAUGGGAACUCGAGUUUUUCACACAAAUCCAGAACCAGGAGGCUUCGAUUCUUGAUGGAACAACUCCAGGAAAGAAACUUUGGGAAGCUCUAAGGGGCCAUGACGGAACUUCUCUGGAUCCCAAGUGUCUGGAAGACUUGGACUGUUACUGAAAGAGCAUGACUUAUGUCCUGGAAUUGAUGAUGCCUUCCUGUAGGAGGAAUAUAAGAGGCACUAAGGUUAUAGAACAGAUGCCGAAAUGGCCACGUUUUCAGUGCUUCCUAGACUCCGACAUUUGCCAUCGUAUGUCUAGUUAGUAUGACUUUUCGUCUUUUUGUAAAAUAGUUUUGUUUAAUACAGAGAUGAUUACAUAAUAAUAGCUAAAAUUACUUGUUCAUAAUAGGUGUUCGAUGACAUUGCAUUUGGAUAAAUAGAUAAUUACUCUGUAUAAAACAAAAUAAAGUUGAGAAAUAACUU